rnacentral:miRNA from 1 species
GUGGGUGGGGGGGGGGGG